UCGGCCGUGGUGUAACUGGCAACACCCAAGAUUUUGGUUCUUGUGUUUCAGGUUCGAAUCCUGGCGGCCGAGCCA
rnacentral:tRNA from 1 species